AAAGUCGUAACAAGGUUUCCGUAGGUGAACCUGCGGAAGGAUCAUUAAAAAGAAUUUGGCCUCGCGGCCUUCACUGGAAAGCGGCCACGGGGUUCAUCCCUCGGGGUCGCCAACAGUUCUACCCACUGUGAAAACCCUUGUUGCUUCGGCAGCGCCUCCCCGUCCGCGGGGAGGGUCAGCCUGCCGGCGGCACAUCGGAAACCCUUUUCAUGAACCUGUACAAGAAUACGUCUGAGAGCGCAGUCGAAUGACACAUAAAACUUUCAACAACGGAUCUCUUGGUUCCC
rnacentral:misc_RNA from 1 species